rnacentral:rRNA from 1 species
UACGGGGGGAGCAAGCGUUGUUCGGAUUUACUGGGCGUAAAGGGCGGGUAGGCGGCCACCGCAAGUCAGUUGUGAAAUCUCCGGGCUUAACCCGGAAAGGUCAACUGAUACUGCGGGGCUAGAGUGCAGAAGGGGCAACUGGAAUUCUUGGUGUAGCGGUGAAAUGCGUAGAUAUCAAGAGGAACACCUGCGGCGAAGGCGGGUUGCUGGGCCGACACUGACGCUGAGGAGCGAAAGCUAGGGGAGCAAACGGG